rnacentral:tRNA from 1 species
CGGGGCGUAGCGCAGCCUGGUAGCGCACCUGCCUGGGGGGCAGGUGGUCGUCGGUUCGAAUCCGGCCGCCCCGACCA